rnacentral:tRNA from 1 species
UGUAUAUAAGUGUUUAGUGCACAUUGAAUUUUGAUUUCAAAAGUGAAGGUUCAAUUCCUUUAUGUAUAA